ensembl:lncRNA
CGCUGAAGUGAGGAGUGCUGAACUGAAGGAACGAGGCAGGCCCAGGUCUGGAAGGCAGGGGUGCUGAGGGGCUGUACAGGUCCCUGGGACAGAGACACUAGCAGAGGAUAGGCCAUUGGGACAUCCAGCUGGAGAAAAUAAUGCUUCAUUCUCAUGCUUAUCACCAGGGCUAUCUCACCAUAAGCGUGGCACAGUGCUGCCCAUCAUGAUGGAGUUGGAGAUGCAACAGGAGUGUUGAUGAGGAAUCCUGUCAGAAGACUACAGCAGUCAUUUAAGCCAGAGAUGGGGACCAGGAACACUGGAGCCGCAGGAACAGUCUGAGGAGAGAGGAGGGCAGAUGGGAAACCUGAGAACAUCCCUGGGGCCAGGUAGACAGAGCAGAAGUGAG